rnacentral:tRNA from 1 species
GCCGGGAUAGCUCAGUAGUAGAGCAUAGGACUGAAAAUCCUUGUGUCGCUGGUGCGAUUCCAGCUCCCGGCA